UACGUAGGGCGCAAGCGUUGUCCGGAAUUAUUGGGCGUAAAGAGCUCGUAGGCGGCUUGUCACGUCGGGGUGUGAAAAGCCCCGGGGCUUUAACCCCCGGGUCUGCAUUCGAUACGGGGCUAGCUAGAGUGUGGUAGGGGGAGAUCGGAAUUCCUGGUGUAGCGGUGAAAUGCGCAGAUAUCAGGAGGAACACCGGUGGCGAAGGCGGAUCUCUGGGCCAUUACUGACGCUGAGGAGCGAAAGCGUGGGGAGCGAACAGG
rnacentral:rRNA from 1 species